rnacentral:lncRNA from 12 species
GGGCUGGAGGUUUCGGCUGGCAGAGAGAAAUGAGGAAUUCUUUAUCCGAAGGAAUGGUUUGGAGCCGAUUCCAUCCCAUUUCCCAGCCGUGUGCAUCUGCAGCGUGCUCCGUCAUGCUUUCGGUCCUGCUGCAGGGGGAAAUGGGUUAACUCUUUUCUAGGUAAGUCAGGAAAGAAAGCCUCAAAAUAAGGAACGAUGAUUUUAAAACGGAUAUUUGAAACUUCCUUAUUGAAAAAGGGGGAUUUAAAGUAGCACUUGAGCUCCACUCAGCGUCUCUUUUUGGCUUGACUCCUCAGCAAUUUUUUUUUUUUAAGUUGUGAAUUUUUUCCUUUUUUUUUUCUCUCUUUUUCUUUUUCUUUUUUUUGGUGUGUUGUUUAAAGCCGCUCAUAGCGCCAGGAGGGCUCAUGGGGCGAGGAUGUCCCAUGGCCACGAAUAAUCUGAGGGAACAGCUGGAAUAUUGAUAAGGGGGGAAAACGGAAAUCAAAUGAAAAGUAGAGGGCAGAGAAGCAAGGGAAAGGAAAGCAAAGCACGUCCUGGAGCUGCGAGCAGCACAGAAGCCCCCUGAGGAAAUGCCUGCUUGAUGCAGCCUGUCUGGAUGGGCUGGGAAUUUUAACUUCAGCGCUGCUUUGGAUCCAACAAGUUUAAAUCUCUCUUCUCCCCGCAAAACUGCAGCGGCAAGGGCAGUGCUCCACAGCUGCUGGGGAGUUGGGCUUUGCUCUCAUCCUGGAUCUUUACAAACUGCUCUGCCACUGGCUGAGGGGAAAGGGUCUAAAAGGUCAAAUUUAGGACCUUUAAAUAUAUCUAAUAAGCAAGUAAGGAUGUUUCAGACUGUACCAGACACUUCGUCUUACGUCAAGGUAAGACAUGACAGCAUCUUUAAACAGGUAAUGUCAAAAAUUACAAUCCUCCCAAAUU